rnacentral:rRNA from 1 species
CACGUAGGGCGCAAGCGUUGUCCGGAAUUAUUGGGCGUAAAGAGCUCGUAGGCGGUCUGUUGCGUCCGCUGUGAAAACCCGGGGCUUAACCCCUGGCUUGCAGUGGAUACGGACAGACUAGAGGUAGGUAGGGGAGAAUGGAAUUCCCGGUGUAGCGGUGAAAUGCGCAGAUAUCGGGAGGAACACCGGUGGCGAAGGCGGCGCACUGGACCAUAACUGACGCUGAGGCGCGAAAGCUAGGGGAGCAAACAGG